GUGGCAGAUAUUUGUGUCUAUAGCACAUUUUUUGUUUAGGUUUUCAAUAUAUCAGAAACUGUUUCUGCAUAUUGGUUAUUGAUUUAGACACGUUAAAACUGUGUUUUGACGUUGGGCUAUCCCACCUAGCAAAAUGUAAUUGAAAAGACGUUGAAAAUAAGACUAUGCAAUCAAAUAUUUCAUAUUUACAUUUCAUGAAACAUUUAGUAUUCAUAAUUAUUUAUACAACCAGCUGACCAUUUUUUGGGACAAUUAUAUUGACGUUGUUGCCCUGCUUUUAUAAUAGCAGGGUUAAUUCUCAGAUGUGCCAACCCAAAUGUACUAGCGCAUGACAUCCAACAACAUGCCUAUCUAGUGAACCCUGAAAAGAGAGAAGCUCUGCAGUGAGAUGGAAAGUUACUACGGAUAUUGCAGGAGUUUCCUCUUGAUAUCAGUCAUGUCCGUGGUAAGGACAACUUGGUUGCUGAUUGCCUCAAGGGUGGGCAGUCAAAAAGUUUAGUGUUUUGCGUUUAGCCAGUGAGUUGCCAUGGAUCACAAUUUAUUUUGACUGCACGUUUUUCCUGUAUUGGAGAUGAGUUUUGUUUGGGCUCGUUCCAAGGGGACGAGAGUUCUAGAAGCUAGUGUGUUUUAGGAAGAAGGGCAAAAAAUACUGUACAUACAUUUUAGUUAGAUGAGAGUUCUAGACGAUAAGAGUUUUUUUUGCCCUAUUUUUAGUUGUUGACAGCCAGUAGACACCAUGUUUAUAUUGGUGAAGCAUUGUAGUUGAUUAUAAUGUGAAAUAGAAAUUGUUUUCUGUUGGUGGUGAGCAAACUUGUGCAAAAAAAUAUAGCAUAUAUUUGUUGUCUUAAGGGGAAGGUGUUACAGGCUUUGGUUUUUCCAUUUAUGUUUUGAGGUUGGACUCGUCCAUAUAGCUCGUUAGCAAGUAUAGCUCGUUAGCACGUAGGACGCACUGAUUGGUGUCACCUCGUUAGUCAGUAUGUGUUACACCUGUGCUGGCUUGUCCAUCUCAUUGGUGGGAAGGUAUUUCACCUGAGCUGGUCCAGGUUCUAUUUAAGAGUGUCUGGCCCAGUGCUCUAGUUGUCUUGAUAGAUGUGGAGAGUCAACACUAGUUGCGCUACCUUUUUGGUUUGCUUUCUGUCUUUAAGUUUGGUGUGGGUUUUUCUUUUGUUUUCCUCUUCUUGGGCAGUUUUAGUGGGUCUCAUGGUGGGUGUCUUUUAGGUUCCCAGUUGUUGUUACGAGUCAACUUUCAGUGGACACCCCCAUAGUGUCUUUCAGAACCCCUUCUAAAACCCCACAUGUUUAGUUGUGGUUUUUGUCAGUGACUCUUUGUUAGUUCCCUCUUCUAUUUAAGUGACAUUUCUGGUGUUCUUGUUAGAUAUUACUUAACUGUCCGGAGCUAGAAAUAGAAGCAUUUCACUACACCUGCAAUAACAUCUGCUAAACACGUGUAUGUGACCAAUAAAAUGUGACUUUGAUUGUAAAUAAACGUCCUAUUUAUCAAAGAUGCUGUUGACUGGGGUCAAAAUUACUCCAAAGGAUUUGAAUUUGUUAAAAGUCCAUUUUGAUACAGAAACUCUACUCCAUGAUUUAGAUUUAUUAAGAACAAGUUGAUUGACAAAGUCAUGAAGAAUUGAUUAAACCACAUUUUGGCUAUGAUAAAAGAUAUGCCUCUGGGGUCAAAAUGAUCCAUGUCAGAAGUAUGGUUCAAUGCAAAUGUGUAGUGGGUGUAACGUUUGUUUUAAACUCUCACUCAUUAAACACGAAUCAAUCAA